AUGGCCAAGAUAUCCUUAUUGCUGGAUGGUAGCUCUGGUCGUAGUGGACCAUAUCUGCAAAUGCUUCUGAACAUUGACAGAAUUUCUAAAGGAUCGCUGAGGACUCCCCCUCCAUGCGUGACAUCUUUGAGAAAUUUUCACGCUUUCUGGAGAUGCCAAGUUUGACUGGAACCAACUUUGCAUCCCUCGGCACUGACACUGAGAAGGUUUCAAGGACCCCACUACUAGGAGGCGAGAGUUUGACACGGCAGUGUCAUCACUGCCAUGGAUGACAACGUAACCAUUCCUGUUGGUGAUUGCCUGACUUGCGCAGUGACAAGCUUUUCAUGCUCUACUGGGUGUGUAACUUGGCAUAUCCCACAGUUUAACUCUGUUUUUGCCUCUUUUGAAUAUGUGUACGAUAUAACCAUCUCAACCAACAAGUGGGCCAAGGUACUGGAACAUUUCUCACUUCAAGUUGCUCUGUAGUCACUGGACAUUUUUUUAAACAUCUACGCAGACACCACCACUCCACACCAUGUGUAUUUUAAUAUCUUCUGAUUCCACUGACAUGCAGACUACAUCCCAUGCAAAUUCAGGUAAUUUACCUGGUACUGGAGAAACAGCAUUGUAUGCCAUUCUAAGUGAUACUUGCCUCCUUGUUUUGCAAAAAUGUACUGUUCUUUGAAUAUAACUUAAAGUAAGAUCAUGUUUACUCUGAGGUUUUCUCCGGUUGUCAAGCACAACCUUAACGUUUUGUAAGUAACUAAUAGUCACAGGAUAUGCAUGAAUUUGUAAUUUGAA